CCAAAACCGAAAAGCUUCUAGAUUCCUCCAAAAUGGUCCUAGAUCAGAACUACUAGGAGUGAUCUGUAAUUUUACCAAGCUCAGCCAGUAAUCCUGAUGCAAGAGCAGGCUGGGUAAACUCUGAUUCAGCAUCUCCCUCCAUGAUGUAAACUGAAAAGACUAAUUGAAAACAUCUGAAUUGUGCUUAGAUGAUUAAGAAGAGAACCCUGACUUGUACCAGAUAAUUGAUGUCAUAAAAGAAAACUGACACAGGGGCUAGGAAGAUUACUGAUAACAGUGACUAGAAAGCUGGAGAAUGCAUCAAGAAAGGACUCUUUCGGCUUGGCAAUAAAAGAAAGUGCUAACUGGGGCACAAAGUUUUGCACCAGAGACCUCCUGGUCUGCAGUCAAAUAUUCUAGCCUUCAGCACUAAUGGGUAGGGAUCCCAAGUGCUGAACACAACUACUGUACCUACACACAGCCCAUGCAGAGCCCCUCUGCACUCCAAAAUCUCAGGAGAGUGAUCAUUAUUUCUCCCAUGAGUCACUCACUCAACAAACAUGGAGCUUGUUAGGUUCUGUGUCCUGUCAUCCACACCGAGGCCACAGACAGGCCACCCUGACCACCUCUGCACACCUGACUGCCACCUCCUCUGGUGACCAGCGCCUCCCGUCACCAGGUCUGGCUGAAGCAGUGACAUUAAAAUCCUGGAGUUCUUCAGGGAGAAGGCCACCACACUCACCUCCAGGAGCCAGACUCAGCAGAAGCUUUGGAGGACAGGAGGGGACAGGGCCAAGGCAGAAGUUCUUGGUUCCCCUGGGAACUAAGCCAGACCCUCAGGGAAGGGGACCUAGGGAUGCUGUGUGCCUCUAAGGAGAUUCCUGGAUGACUGUAACCGUUUGGAAGAUUUUGAUUUUAUCUGUGCCCUUCCAUGAAUCCCACAAUGUACUGGACAGAGAAAGUGACCUGAAGAGAGGGCCCCAUGGAUGGAAAAAUCAUGAAAUAGAAAUCAGAGAAGUCCACAGUUUCUGGAGCAUGGCCCAACACAGACAUUGCAAACUUUGUUCAGUAGGAAAGAAGGGCCCAGCCAGUGACUGGAUUGGACCAUGAGCUGCUAGAACACAGGCCCUGUCUCUGCCCUGGAAUUAAGCUCACAUUCCUGCUUGACUAACACCAUUCUGCAUUGCCUCACCCAGGAAGUCCAUUGCACUGAGGAGAACUCCUUACCUGAGACGUCACACCCCAAGCUGUCCAUGAGCCACUAGGUCAGCACAGCUGGAAGAGGCCCAAGAUGUUUGAACCAUGGGGCUCAGCACUCAGGAUGCACUGGUGUUCAUUUAGGGGACUCUGCCUUGUGUCCACUCUCCGGAAGCCACCAGUAGGACACUAAAAGACCUCACAACCCCAUGACAUGGAGUGAGGACCAUCAGCCACAGGAACAAGAGAGGCAAAGACCUGUGGAAGGAUGGUGGGGCAGGGAAGCCCAAAAUUCACUGUGAUUUGCAAAGGACGAUCAGGGCACCGACAGUGUUUACUUUCUUGGUUAACAAAAUAUGUAACUGUAUUUGUUACUGUGAAAUACACUUCCAAUAUAAAUAAUAUCACACC
rnacentral:lncRNA from 1 species